GGACAGUUGGUAUAGUGGCAUUAUACUUGCCUUCCAAGCAAGCGAGACGGGUUCGAUUCCCGUACUGUUCA